GACGCUGCUGUGUGGCUGCGCACUGCUGAGGGGUUCUCUCGCACAUGGUAGUUCCCAAACUGCAUUGGUGCAGUUGAUGGAAAACACAUCCACAUCAAGCGGCCCAAGAACUCUGGCGCCAUGUAUUUCAAUUAUAAGGGCACAUACUCCAUCGUCCUCCUUGCCAUAGUCGAUAGUGACUACAAGUUUUUGGUCAUGGAUAUUGGCGCCUAUGGCAAGCAGAGCGAUGGAGGAGUCCUCCACCAGUCGCAGUUUGGGCAGCGCUUGGAGCAAGCCCAGUUGCAGCUGCCAAGAAGCUUGGCCUUGCCAAACACCAUGCAGCAAGCUCCGUGUGUGUUUGUCGGGGACGAGGCUUUCCAGCUCCGGCCAGACUUCCUAAGGCCAUACCCUGGACGAUAGCUCGAAGACAGGAAACGGAUCUUCAACUACCGCCUGAGCAGAGCAAGGAGGUGCGCAGAGAACGCCUUCGGAAUCCUCGUGACACGCUGGAGGAUUCUUGAAAGGACAAUGGCGGAAGAUCCCAAGAAUGCCGAAGAGGCCGUCAAAGCCCUUUGUGUGCUGCACAAUUUCCUGAUGCACAGGCGCACAGAGGGUGAUGAUGCGUACUGUGGUCCUGCAUGUACCGAUUCUGUCAAUGUAUUCGGGCACCAACGGUCUGGCCAGUGGCGUGAGCAGCUAACACAGCCACCGUUGCCAGUGGCUCGCACCCAGGCACGUAAUUUUGCCCAAGCAGCUCGGCAUGUGAGAGAAACAUAUGCCAACUACUUCAGCAGUACUGCAGGAAGUGUGUCCUGGCAGGAUGCAGUACUGAGGUAGCAUGUAGCUUUAUUUGCAUGUAUUGAGAAGGCAUACUGUAGGAGGCUUUAAUGUUUUCAUGUGUGUUAUGCAUUUUCAUGCCUGCCAACCUGGCGAGAUCAAAAGUCGGGAGACU